GUGACACGUUGGUGGGCUUGCUUACAGAUUUCUCUAUCUGCAGAGACAUUAGUCUGUAUGUGACAGACUAAUAGUGACACAUUCAUUACACCCAAACCCCUUUGGAAUUCUUCCUCUGCCCUGUGCGUCCCUCCCUAUUCCCAGACAAUCACUCACUAAUCUGUCUUCUGUAACCCAGAUUAGUUUGCCUUUUCUAGAAUUUUAUAUAAAUGCAUUCAAACUUUUGUGUCCCUCUUGUUUCUUUCACUCAGUGUAAUUAUUUUGAGAUUAACUUAUGUGACUGUGUAUAUAAAUAAUUCCUUUUUGUUGCUGACAAGUAUCCUAUUGUGUGGAUAUAUUAGGUUGAUGCAAAAGUAAGUAUGGUCUUUGUCAUUAAAAGUAAUGGUAGGCCAUUAAAAGUA
rnacentral:lncRNA from 1 species